UGGGAAAUAUUGCACAAUGGAGGGAACUCUGAUGCAGCAACGCCGCGUGCGGGAUGACGGCCUUCGGGUUGUAAACCGCUUUCAGCCAUGACGAAGCUUUUGUGACGGUAGUGGUAGAAGAAGCACCGGCUAACUACGUGCCAGCAGCCGCGGUGAUACGUAGGGUGCGAGCGUUGUCCGGAAUUAUUGGGCGUAAAGAGCUUGUAGGCGGUUUGUCGCGUCGAUAGUGUAAACACGCAGCUUAACUGUGUGCCUGCUGUCGAUACGGGCUGACUAGAGGAGGGUAGGGGAGAAUGGAAUUCCCGGUGGAGCGGUGGAAUGCGCAGAUAUCGGGAGGAACACCAGUGGCGAAGGCGGUUCUCUGGACCUUUCCUGACGCUGAGAAGCGAAAGCGUGGGUAGCAAACAGG
rnacentral:rRNA from 1 species